CAGGCCUAACACAUGCAAGUCGAACGAGUGCCUUCGGGUGCUAGUGGCGCACGGGUGCGUAACGCGUGGGAAUCUGCCCUGGGGUCUGGGAUAACCGUUGGAAACGACGGCUAAUACCGGAUGAUGAUGAAAAUCCAAAGAUUUAUCGCCCUGGGAUGAGCCCGCGUCGGAUUAGCUAGUUGGUGGGGUAAAGGCCUACCAAGGCGACGAUCCGUAGCUGGUCUGAGAGGAUGAUCAGCCACACUGGGACUGAGACACGGCCCAGACUCCUACGGGAGGCAGCAGUGGGGAAUAUUGGACAAUGGGCGCAAGCCUGAUCCAGCAAUGCCGCGUGAGUGAUGAAGGCCUUAGGGUUGUAAAGCUCUUUUACCCGGGAUGAUAAUGACAGUACCGGGAGAAUAAGCCCCGGCUAACUCCGUGCCAGCAGCCGCGGUAAU
rnacentral:rRNA from 1 species